rnacentral:rRNA from 1 species
GACGAACGCUGGCGGCGUGCCUAAUACAUGCAAGUAGAACGCACAGUUUAUACCGUAGCUUGCUACACAAUAGACUGUGAGUUGCGAACGGGUGAGUAACGCGUAGGUAACCUGCCUGGUAGCGGGGGAUAACUAUUGGAAACGAUAGCUAAUACCGCAUAAUAUUGAUUAUUGCAUGAUAAUUGAUUGAAAGAUGCUAUUGCAUCACUACCAGAUGGACCUGAGUUGUAUUAGCUAGUAGUUGAGGUAACGGCUUAACUAGGCGACGAUACAUAGCCUACCUGGGAGGGAGAUCGGCAUAAGUGGGACUGAGACACGGCCCAUCCUCCUACGGGAGACAGCUGUAGGGAAUGUGAGACAAUGGACGAAAGUCUGACCGAGCAACACCGCGUGAGUGAAGAAGAUUUUCGGAUCGUAAAGCUCUGUUGUAAGAGAAGAACGGGAGUGCGAGUGGAAAGUUCACACUGUGACGGUAUCUUACCAGAAAGGGACGGCUAACUACGUG